GUAACCUGCCUUAUAGUGGGGGAGUAGCCUUUCGAAAGGAAGAUUAAUACCGCAUAAGAUUGUAGUAUCGCAUGAUAUAGCAAUUAAAGGAGCAAUCCGCUAUAAGAUGGACCCGCGUCGCAUUAGCUAGUUGGUGAGGUAAUGGCUCACCAAGGCGACGAUGCGUAGCCGACCUGAGAGGGUGAUCGGCCACAUUGGGACUGAGACACGGCCCAGACUCCUACGGGAGGCAGCAUG
rnacentral:rRNA from 1 species